rnacentral:rRNA from 1 species
UACGUAGGGGGCAAGCGUUGUCCGGAUUUACUGGGCGUAAAGCGCGUGUAGGCGGCCACGCAGGUCCGUUGUGAAAACUGGAGGCUCAACCUCCAGCUGUCGACGGAAACCGUAUGGCUAGAGUCCGGAAGAGGAGAGUGGAAUUCCUGGUGUAGCGGUGAAAUGCGCAGAUAUCAGGAAGAACACCAAUGGCGAAGGCAGCUCUCUGGGACGGUACUGACGCUGAGACGCGAAAGCGUGGGGAGCGAACAGG